UUUAUACAAUUUGGCAGUGCUUGGAUCUGCUGCUUUAGACCUUAAGGCAAAGCGGAUGUGCUUGGGUGGGCUUUCAUCCCCAUCCCUUUGACUCUUCUUCCAUGCAUGCAAGCUGGCUGAGAGUGUUGGUAGGGAAUGCCCCAUGCCAGCAGCAGGCCUGGCUGCUAGGCUUUUUCCUGAGAGCCCGUGACUUGGAUGUUUCCGAGCCCUCCCCUGACCUUGGCUCUUGUCCUGGCCCUGAGCUCUCAGAGACAUGUGCUCUCAGCGGCUUCCUAGGGACUAGUGCCAGCAUCCUUUGCCUAAUGCUUACUUAGCUAUCUGCCAUCUUAGUGGGUGAAAUCCGGAGCCAGUGAUCAUGGAUCUCUGCCCAGAGGAGAUGGGCUCCCAUCAGCCAACCCUCCCUGGAUGAAAUCCUUCCCAAGGUUAAACUCUUCUCCAGAGAAACAAACACCUCUCCGCUGUUCCUUCAUUAGUCUUAUCACUGAAAUGAGCCUCUUGAGUUAAUCCCUUUCCUCCUCCAUCCAAUCUGGAGCCUUCUGGCCACAGUUUCCAAGGCUUGCAGGAUUUAAUUAUCCACAAUUUGGAAAGGAAGGUAAGAGAGAAAAUGAAGGGCUCAAAUGCUAAAGGAAGAUGAGCUUCCCAAUCCCUUCCUGGAAAGGUGGUGGAUGUAUCGAGAUGAGGAGGGGGUGGAGAGGAUGCUUUUGGAACCAGCUUCUUUGGGACAAGUGCCAUUGAUUUCCAAAUGUUUGAUAGCACCUCUGGAAGAGAGUUGGAAUCAUGGAAUGCUAGAGCUGGAAGAGACCUUAGAACACAGAAUGCUGAAAGACAAAGGACAUUUAGACCACAGGAUCUUAAAGAAUACUAGAGCAGAAGUGGAUCUUAGAGCACGGAUGUUGGAAAUGGAAGGAAACGAAUCGGAUUGUCUUUAAGGACAUGAAGGACUUUAGGACACUACUGCCAACAGGCAACCUUAAUUCUGCCUCUCCACACCUCCUCCCGCCCCCCAGCCACUUAUAUUAGCUAUCAAAUAGAACCAAGGAAAAAGCCCAUGUCAAGAAGAUUCAGAGAGCAUAAGUCUAGAGCUGGAGGGAAUCUUGAGGAUCAUCUUGUUCAUUGCCUCUCUUUUUACAGAUUAAGAAAUUUAGACCCAAGGAAUUUAGGAGAUUCUGUUCAAGGUCUCAGAAAUAAUUCAAGAUCCAGGAGAUCUUGUCUGAUCAUCUCAGAGCUUCCAUUCAACUCAACAAAAAUGAAUUAAGGAUCUACUAUGGCCAAGACAUCAUGCUAAGCCCUGGGAUACAAAACCUUUGCAUUAAAAGAACUUCUUUCUAUGGGAAGGAGGUAACAUAUAAAUAAGUUAAACCAAUGUAUGGAUGAAAUAAUUUCAAGAAGAGGAGAGAAUGAAUAGCCAGGGCAUCAUAGAGGAGAUAAGCACCUAGAAUGUUUCGUGAAACACAUUAGAGAAUCCAAGAGGCAGAGGUCAGCAGGGUAUGCAUUCCAGAGAUGGGGGACCACCUGUGCAAAGACAUGGAAGUGGGAGAUGGAAUAUCAGGAAUGAGAACAGCUAGUAGAUUUGACUGUCUAGAACAGAGAAUACAUGAAAAGGAUUAAAAUAAAAUAAGGAUAGAUUUCCAAGAUUCCUGGAGGGUUUAACAGUCUAUGAAGCUCCACAUCAAUCACAGCAGUUGGGGAAAUCUGAGCCCCACAGAUUACUUUUAGAAGACUGAAAAAUAACUUCUUUAAAUGCCACUAAUUCAUUUCCUGGCACCUGUUCGAAAGUGUUUCUUAAUCUUUACCAAUUGAAUACUGAAUGCCAACUGAAAAAGGCUUCUGGCAAACUUGAACCAGAAAGAUAUCUGGCUCUUAGAGAAAGGUAUUCAAAGAAGUUGAAGUCAAGGAUUAGGAGUAGUUGCUUAGAAUGGAAAGGAAUUCCCCGCUGUAAACAGGUGCAAUUCAGCAGACCCUUGAUGCUAGUUCAAGGAUGACCCUUAAGCUUAUUGGUGCAUUCUUGGGCAUGUUGGAUGAGUGUUCCUGUAACUACAAGUGAUCAGUGACUAAAUAGUGGCUCUGUUAAUAGGAAUGGGAUUUAUUUAAUCUCAAUACAAUGUUAACCUCUUUGAAUAGAAUAAAAUAAAAUGUUCUUCCUUCUAACUUUUUCUGGCUAACUUUACAAGUAGUCUUCUUUGAUAGUAGUUUGCUGGAUCCAUGAGUUCAUCAAUGUAUUUUAUUGAAUCUUUUUGUUUUAAAUUUAAAUCACAGUAAUUCCCUGGUAUACAUUGCUCCAUUGAACUUUUUCUUUUGGUGAUGAGAAAUGGUGAAACAAAACCAAUCAAUGUAGCAACUCUAAAUGAAAGAAUAUGAUAUAUUCUGUUCCCAGAGUCCCCUAUUUCUCUAGUGAGAGAAAAGAAUUGUGUUUCAUUGUUUGUUCUUCUGGAUAAGAAUUGCCAAUUAAAAUUAAUCAGAAUUUUUUACUGAUGUUUUUGUCUAUAUUAUUGUAAUAAUGAUGCAUAUUUUCAACUGCUUCUAUCUUCUUCCCUCUUUUUCAGUUAAUAUCUCUUCCCUUGCUUCUCUGAAUUUCUGAUUUUCAUAAUUGUCUUAUGAUAAAAUAAAACUUUGUUUCUUUCAUAUAUUCUUCAAAAUUGUCUUGUGUGUGUUUUGUAUAUAUGUUUGUAAUAAUAGCCAGCAUUUAUAUAGUAUGUGCCAGACACUGCACUAAACACUUUAUAAUUAUUAUCUCAUUUGAUCUUCUAACAUCCCUGAGAGAUUAGUGCCAUUAUUAUCCCUAUUUAACAGAUGAUAAAACUGAGACUGAGGUUAAUUGUGUUGUACAAGGUCACAAAGCCAGGAAGUGUUUGAGGCUGGAUUUGAACUCAGGUCUUCCUGAUUCCAGGUCUGGUGUUAAAUCCAUUGCACUACUAUAAUCAAUAAAACCAAUCAGUGUUUAUUAAAUAAGCACAAUAGGACAAGUACUGUGCUAAGUGCUAGGAAAUACAAAAUGGGAUGAUAGUCCCUGCCCUCAAUGAGUGUAUAAUGUAAUGAUGGAAACAUUAUGCAAACAAAUAUACACAAUGCAAGCUAUAUAUAGGAUAUGUUAUUCAUCCUUAAUUUUCAAAGAGGACCAAUGACCUCAUGGUGUGAUGUCUUGACUUACACAUAAAUUGGAUUUAAGUGAGGCAGAAUUGCCCAAAGUCAUCAACUUCAUUUUCUCUUCCAGAAGCAUCAAAGUCCAGUGGCAAGACAAAAGUCAAGAAUAACUGGCAAUGGUCUAGGAUGGCAGUGGAUGACCUUGGCAUUUUCUGUGUUUGAUCAAACUCUAAGUACUCCAGAAUGCCUGCUUCAACUGCCUUCAUGGCAAAACGUUCUUAUCCACCUAUUCUUCUGGGGGAUGUCUUCACAUGCUUGGGGUAGACACACCCCUGGCUUACCAACAGGAUAUCCAACAAAGCAGACAUUGUUACCUUUGUCAUGAUUAGGGAGUUUGUGGUGUCUGCUAAGAAUUAUGUAGUACAAGGAAAAUAUCCAAGCAAAGAGAAGAAACUGUCCACGGUGCUGAAGCAUGAAGGAUUAUAGGAUCAGAGAUUUAACACUAGAAGAGACCUCAGAAGUCAAGUCCAACACUUCUCACAAGGUCAUACUAAUCAUCAGUGGCAGAGCCAAGAUUCAAGUCCAGGUCCUCUGUAUCCAAAUGUAUUUUACUUUCUACUGUGUCUUAGUGUUUUCUCCAACUUUCUGUCUGCACAUUCUCUGUAUGCAGGAGUAGACUAUACAUAAUAGUAAAAUGGAAUGAUAAUUAUUAAUGAUAUAAUUAAACUAAACAUUCAAAGUCUGAAGAUAAUGGCAAUGAAAUAAUUUUCCAGUUGUUAAAAGCAAACACCUGUCAAGUCAUUUCCAAAAAGUACUAGGAUUCACAGAAUUAUAUUUUGUCUUAUAUCCCAAGUGUCUCUCACAGUGAUUGGAAUGUAGACUUAGUAAAUUCUUGUUUAAUUAAUAAGUUGAUUAUGGAAUGAUAAUUUGAGGGCAUCAGAGAUAAUGGAGAUCAAACAUCUCUUUAUACAGAUGAGAAAACUGAAGUUCAAAGGAAUGAAGUGACUCAUUCCAGGUUAUACAGCUAGCAAAUUUCGGAAUCAUGAUUCCAACUCCAGUUCUUAUUCAACUACAUUGAUAUUUCAUUGGAUCUGUAAUUGAUGUAGGUGUUUCUUCCAAUGGUGCAGACUCUAUUCCUUUUCUUCCAAUGGCGCCCAUCUAUUCCUUUUUGUCCUAUGUGAUUCUUUUCUGGGUUCUGUAAAUUGUCCACUGGGGCUCCAUUCAACAUGCUUGAGGCCUUUCUGUAGAUAUAUGAAGUACAUGGGCUGUCCCUCAGCUAUUUAUUUCCCUAAAAAUGACUGGCUGCCCAAUUUGGCCUUACAGUUUGUAUUAAAGCAGAAAGUUGGUACUUGUGAUGUUAGUAGAAGCAUGAGGGUUUAUAACUAUGCAAGCAUAGUUAAAAAUGAAAACAACAUAUAUGCUCACUAUAGGAUCAGGUCCACUUAUGUGAAGGAGAUGUGUAAAUUAGCAAAGUCUCAGUGAAGAGACCCUCAGGGGAGUCUGAAUGGAGAAGUCUUACACCUUAAAGGUGGACUUGAUAGGAAUAGGAUAUGGGUAUCAAAUGUGGGAGGAGCAUUCUUAAUCAGAUACAGACAUGGUGGAAAAAUUCCCUAGGGUUGCUUAUAAAUCCUAGUCUUUGAUGGAAGUUUUAUAACUGGGACUACAUAUUGGGUGAAUGUUUGAAGUGAUAAUUAUGGAUUCCAGGAGUUGGUUAUUGGCAUGGCUGCUCCAGACAGUGGAGAUCCUCUUCUAAUCAAGAAAUAAGAUUGUUUACAUGUUUGACAUAGGAUCAGAGUAAGUCAGGGCAGUGAAAAAAUAUAGACUGUGGUGUUGCUUACAUCUUUAUGAUUACUGGGCCCACUUAGCCUAAGUACUUCCAUGUUGUAAAUAUGUUUGUUGGAACUAUGACAUACCUAUGAUACAUUUUUAACAAAUCACAAUGACCACACAGGCUAAUCUCUUUUUCCAGGUCAUACUACUUUUUGAUAAUAUCCUCUAUAUUGUUUAUUUUUAAAACUUCCUUACUGGAGGCUUCCUGAAAUCUAUUCUCACUGACCAUGUAUUGCCCUUUAGGUGAGUGACAACUUUAAUUCUUUAUAGGCUAUCAUAUUCACUACUUUGCAUGUAAAUAGCUUUGCCAAAAGAAUAUUGGUAUAUAAAUACAUUUCUUUGUUCCAGGUAUGUUAGAGUUAUAAUGCACAUUUUAUUUCAUAUCUUUAAGAUUGACCAAGAAGACAAAAAUGGAAAAUGACAAUUGCUGAAGAAACUGCAAGAAGGCAGCUUUCCUGGUGCCCUCUUGGUGGAACUUUUAGUUGGUCUAUUCCAUUCUGGAAAGCAAUUGAAACUAUACUGAAAAAUCACUGAACUUAGCAAAGGAUUGGUAAUUUCAGCAGUCUCUUAUUCAUUCAAUCAAUUGAGCAAUCAGCAAACUAAAUGUCUUCUACAUGUGAGGCACUGGAGCACUGUGCCAUGCAAAUACAAAGACAAAAAUGAAAUGGAGCAUGCCCUAAGGGGACUUGUAUUCUUUUGGAGGGCAUAAGAUAUACAUGUAAGUAUUUAUAAAAUAGAUAUAUAAUAAAUACAGAGUAUUUUUUUGGGGGGAAGGCAUUAACAUCAUGUAAGAGGCAAGUAUCUGACUCAGUGGAAAGAGUGUCAGGCCUAGAGUCAGGAAGAUUUAUCUUUGUGAAUUCAAAUCUGGGCUCAGACACUUACUGGCUGUAUAAUCCUGGACAAGUCACUUAACCUUAUUUUCUUCAGUUUCCUCAUCUCUUAAAUGAACUAGAGAAGGAAAUGGCAAACCACUCUAGUAUCUUUGCCAAGAAAACCUCAAAUGUGGUCACCAAAAGUUGGGCAUGACUGAAAGGAGUGAACAAUAAAAAGUGAUAUUUGAGAUGAGUUUGGGAGGAAACUAGUGAUUCUAAGAGUCAGAAGUGAGGAAGAAGGGCAGCCUAGGAACUAGGUGUGGGAAACCCUUUUAUCAACAGAGAAAUGACUCAUCUGUGCCUUAGUAGAUUUGUCCUAGAGAAUUGCCUGAAACAGAAAUGCUAGCUGACUUCCUUAGAGUCACAUAGUAAGUGCCAAAGGCAGGAUUUGAAUAGGUUUUCUUGACAUGAAGUCAAAUGCUCUAGGGUUUUCCAUGUUCCCUCCACCAGAUAAAAAGAGGUGAAUGAUUAGUGGGUACCAAGGUAUGAAUGUUUAGAAUUCUUUUUCUAAAACUGAUUUUGGUGAGUUCAGUCAAUAUAAAGAGGGUAGACCUAUAGGGCAGAUAAGGAGUAGGUUAUUAGGUGUGAUUUUUAAAUCUCCAUCUUGCUUGGUCUAGCACCCAAAAUUGUGCACACCCACACUAUAUGGGCAUGUGUUAGUCAAUGGCAAAUCAGAAAUAACUAACUGCCCACCUGGGCUGUCCCAAGCCAAGCUUGAGCCACCAUUGGCACGUGUGAGGUGCAGGAAGUGAGGUAGAGAACAGCCUCUGGAGUUUGCUGACUUCUUAGGGACAGGGCUAGGCACCAGUUUGUUCUAGGAGCUCGAACAGGGAGGAGGCCCGCAGGCAGCUUUCCUUCAGAUUGGUCACAUGAGUCAAAGGACUGAUUCUCUUCUUUACCUUGGCCUUCCAAGGCCUAGACUCCCUCUGGCUCUGCCAGAAGGUUGAGUUAACCUCUUUCCUUGUCCCCUUCUUUCCUUCUCUCUCUUCUUCUUUUUACUCCCAUUGUAAUUAAACUGCCAUAAAACUCCAUACUGAUUUGAGUGUUUCAUUUAGGAAUUUCAUAAGUGAAUUCCUUGGCGACCUUAAAUUAAUAUAUAUCAGUCUUUAAAAGUGAUUUCACUAUCACAUAGGGAAAGUUGGAGAUAGGAAUUUGAAAUCUCAUUGUCUAAAUAAUGUAUUUUUCAUUGAUUGAUUAAUUGUUUGAUCAAUAUAUUUCCUGAGAGAAGACAGAGAUCUCAGACCUCAGAGGAGUAUCAGUGCUUUAAGAUCAGAAUGGAGGAUAUUUCUUUCCUCCACAAAGUAGAAAUCUAUAGGUACAACCUCUAAUUAUGUUCCUGGGACCAAAAUGUGGGGAUCUAUGUGUGCAUUUUGUGAAUUUUAGUUUUAUUCCACCAUGCUUAGUCUUUAGAAUUCUAGCAACCAGGAAUGUAUACACCCCCACUUAAGGAUUGGGUGUGGGGAAGAAAGGCCUAUGACCGACAUGUGCUAGCAAGUGACAAAUCAGAAACAACUGAUUGAUCCCCUGGGCUGUCCUAAUCCAAGCUUAAGCCACCAUUGGUACAUGUGAGACACAGGAAGUGAUGUAAAGAACUGUCUUUAUAUUUCGUGUCACUUCCUGUGAGAGGGAUGCUUGAUGGACUUGGCCCUGGAACUUGACCCUGGAGGAGCUCAGCGUGAUAUCUCAGACUGCUUUCCUUGAGACGGUCACAUGGUGAGUUAUAAGGCUAACUCCCUUUUCCCCUGGCUUCUGGAGGGACCCCUUGGCUGAGGCCUCUGAACUCCUGCCUGGCUUAACCCAGGCUGGAGCAAUUCAAUUCUCUUUUCCCUUUCUCUCUCAUUCUUAAUUUAUUCCUUCUAUUGUAAAUAAACUGUCUGCAUAAAUUCCAUUCUGACUUGAAUAUUUCAUUGGGAUUUAGAAUUUAAAUCCCUGGUGACCAACUAAAUUUAUAUUCAGUCUCAACCCCUAAAUUUACCCUUAACAAUUUCAUUAGGUCAGGGACCUGAGUCUCUCUCUGUUCAUUUUCUGUCCUUUAAUGACCUCAGCUAGUAUACAGCUGGGAAGAGAUCAUGGGGCUGUUCUCCAAGCUUCCUCUAGUUCUUGUCUCACUCAGGGACUUAAUGUGCCGUUUCAUCAACACAUUGCUCAAAUGUUCAAAACUUAUUUUGCAAAUGGUGGUAUAAUGAAUAU